AAAAAAGAAAGAAAGAAAGAAAGAAAUAUAUUUAUCUCCUCAAGAAGGAAGCUCUUUAGAAUCAAAUCUGCCAUAUUAUUUUCUAAGUUUGUGUGUAGGCUUUUGGGAAUGUUGAUCAUGCAGAAUAAAGUAACAGUGGGAAAAUGCCAUACAUGCAAGAAGAGUUCCCUUAAGUAUACUCGGACACUCCAUAUAUUACUGUAAAAUAUACAAGAUAUAAAUUUACUAUUUUAGCCUUUUUUUUUUUCUGUAGUGGAAUUGAACUCAGGGGUACUUUACCUUUUUAUUUUUUAUUUUGAGACAGGAUCUUGCUAAGUUGCUUAUGGGCCUCUUUAAGUUGCUUUGGCUGGUCUUGAGCUUGUGAUCUUUCCGCCUUUUAGGCAUAUAGUGGCAUUAAAUGUAUAUAAUUAUACAACUAUAACCAAUAUCCAUGUCCAGAACUUUUUCAUUUUCCCAAAGUGAAACUUCAUACCCAUUAAAUGAUAACUCCUUUCCAUCCCCUGGCAACCUCCAUUCUGUUUCCUUCCUUCCUUCCUUUCUUUUUUUAAUCUACAAAAUGUUCUAUUUACUACUUUUACUUUUAACAUUCUUUGUGUACUUCUAAACAUCUAGAAAGACUAGAUGUUUCAAAUAGGACCUAAGUUUGUUCACUGUGUACAUAGUAGUGUUAAGUAAACUACCACAACAAUGGUUAUAUCCAAAAGUUUUUUCUAAGUAGGAGCCUCCUGAAGUAGAAGAUUUUAUUUCUCUGCACCAUUCUUUUUUUCUGACUCUGUUUCACUACUCUAGUUACGUCACUCGGGAGUGGACAAGUUCUGCAUUAACUUGCUCCUUAGUAAACAUCACUUGCAUGUCCACUGGGCCAGAGCCUCCAGGAUGUACUUGACCAUCAACAGUGUCCUCCCCAAACCUCAUUCCACCUCUGAAUUCCCUAUUGGCUCCCCAUGUCCCCAAGUGUCUAGGUCUUCCUUGUCUGGACAAAGAAACCCUGUACCAACAGCACAUGACCUGCCUCCCGCUACACCUGACUUCCCUUCCCUUGGCUGGGGAGAGAGGCACCUUGACCUUGACACUUUUGUGUCUUUCUGAUAGCUACUACUUCUGCCUGGGUCCCCAGAUUUGGGGACUGGCUAAGCACUCUGCCUUGGCACCCCUGCCUAGGCACUAUUGUUUGGAUAUGUUUUAAAUGUGUCCCCCAAGGGUUCAUGUGCUAGAAAUGCGGUCCCCAGUGUGGCGGUGUUGAAAUGGGGGGAUUUUUACAAAGUGGAGCUUAGUGAGGGGUCUUUAGGUCAUUGGGGGUGCUGCUCUUUGAAGGGAUUGAUGUAGUUUGUAUGAGACCCCUGAGUUAAUUCUCAUGUGAGGGUUAUUAUAAAAAAAUUAAGAAUGGCCUCUCUUCUUUCUCUGGCUUUCUAUCUCCCUCUCACAUUAGUCUCUGCCCCUAGAGCUAAGCUGUGGCUGGAACUAUGCCCUUGAAUGUCCAGAACUAUGAGCUAAAUCAUCAAUCUUUUCUUUAUAAAAUUACCUAGUCUCAGAUAUUUCAUUAUAGUAACCGAAAAUGAACUAAUGUGCUGGGAGCCUGAAUCUUCAUCAAGACUCAGCUAGGUACAACUCACCCUGUGGCCUUCCAUGCCUCCACAGGAGGUCAUUUCUUCUAGCUUCCCUAGGGCCUCCCACGGUGAAUACAGCUACCACACUGGACUGCAGUGACAUUUACUUGACCAUUGGACCCACUCACUACACUCCGAGCUCCUUGGGCCAGGAAAGUGCUUCGUAAACCUUUGUAACUGCUCAGGCGAUCGGGAAAGCUGUCGAAGUGCUUGGUUCAAAUGAGCUCCCACCUCCCUUGCCUGCAACCUUACGUUGAGCCCCUCCAAGGCUCCAGGGUCUCACUGAGUUGCUUAGAGCCUUGCCAUUGCUGAGGCUGGCUUUGAACUCGCGAUCCUCCUGCCUCAGCCUCCCGAGCUGCUGGGAUUACAGGUAUGUGCCACCGCGCACCCAGCAUUGGGGUAGCUCUUGAUCCAGGGUGACUGGCAUCCUUAAAAGGAGAAGUUAGGACUCUGAGAAAGAAGACAGAUACAGGAAGAAGAGAGCCCCCUGUAAGCCAAUCAGAGGUGUCAGUAGAAAUCAGCCCUCAGUACACCUUGUUCUUGGACUUAUGACUUCCUGAACUGUGAGAAAUGCAUUUCUCUUAUGAGAGCCGCCCAGUUGGUGGAUGCUGCCUUAGCUAAUUUCCGCCCUUCAUCGGGAUUUGGGAUGGUGACUUAAUGUACGUGGUUCUGCUUGGGAUGAAAACUUGGAAAAAGUGCAACAAAACAAGGCUACUCUGUUGACCCCUAAUUUUUUUUUCCUAACACCCAUUCCUAGCUCACAGGCCUCAUAUUCUGGGUCUUUUUUUUUUUUAAUUUAAUUUAAUUUUUUUUUUUUUUAAUAUUCCGGGUCUUCACCUUGUCAUUUUUCUCCCUGUUUGGACCACAAGCUCCCUGAAGGCAGAGCCAUGUCCACAUAUCCAUCACAGGGUCCCCAGCAUGCAGCCCAGGUGAAGUCCCUUAAAGGCACUGGGAACACACCUUUUGGGUGAAUUCUGUCUGCAACAAGGGCCUGCACCAUUCCUCACUCUGGGCUUACCUGCAGACUUUUUAAUUGAAACAGCUGGUUUUGCACAUCAGGUCUCUGCUCAGAACUGACUUACCAUUGACUGUGUCCCGUGUACCUCCCUCAUCCCCCUCCAGGCACUGAAUGUGAUCAACAUGUGUUAAAAACCAGAGAGGAAGAGUGGCAUUAUUAGUUUUUGUUUGCACUUGGUGAACUGCGCCACGCAUUCUAUUAAAACCAAAUCGUACCAGGCAAUAUGUGGGAACGCUGUGGUCCCCAAAGGGUUCACUUAAUGAGGCCAGGGAUCAGAUGGCUGCAGCGUCCCCUCACACCUAUGGCAGUGCUGACCUAGAGCUGGGCACUUAGUGGUAUUUGGGGAAUGAGUGGCGAAGUCCAUAUCAAGGACAGGUGGGUGGAUGCUGAGCCUUUCUCAGUGCUCCUGUGAGGGUGGCCGGUCCUCCUUCCAGCUGCCUCUGUACCCAUUGCCCCAUUUUUCUUUUUAGGCUGUGGAUGCUGGUUCUUCUUUAUAGCCCCUGAUGAGGGUGAAGCUGUCAUGCUGUUACCUUCUCACUGAGAGGAGAGAGGGUCUCCUUUUAUACCUCAAAGCGCCCCCGGGGUCCCUGGUUUUAGGAAACUCAUGACUUGCCUGGGAAUCAUUGGUGACCACCCCACAAUUUCUCUGCCCCCUCCAGGACCAAUUUUCUCUACCCCCCCCCAUCUACACGUAUUUUUUUUUAAAAAUUGAGGUGAGGGCUGGGGAUGUGGCUCAAGUGGUAGCGCACUCGCCUGGUAUGCGUGCAGCCC